ACAUACCAGCAGACGUCACAAACCUAAACGCAAUGUACCGUAGAGAGCAGGUUGGCUGACAUAGAAGACAUGAUAGUCUACUUCGACGAGAAAGCAAAAUCAGAUACAGAUUUCUUCUAUAGGAUAAGAUUGGACGAUGAGGACCGUGUCAGGAACAUGUAUUGGGUGGAUGGUGCUGCAAGAAGAGCCUACAAACAUUUCCGAGAUUGCAUUUCAUUCGACGCGACAUAUCUCACUAAUAUGUACAAGAUGUCAUGCGCUCCAUUCAUAGGAAUAAAUAACCACAAUCAGUCAUUGCAGUUCGGAUGCAGGCUUGUUCGGACGAAGACACAGAUAGGUACACUUGGCUGUUCAAAACCUUAUUGGAGUGCAUGGGUGGACUUGCUCUGA
rnacentral:rRNA from 1 species